UACGUAGGGUGCGAGCGUUAAUCGGAAUUACUGGGCGUAAAGCGUGCGCAGGCGGUUAUGCAAGACAGAUGUGAAAUCCCCGGGCUCAACCUGGGAACUGCAUUUGUGACUGCAUGGCUGGAGUGCGGCAGAGGGGGAUGGAAUUCCGCGUGUAGCAGUGAAAUGCGUAGAUAUGCGGAGGAACACCGAUGGCGAAGGCAAUCCCCCUGGGCCUGCACUGACGCUCAUGCACGAAAGCGUGGGGAGCAAACAGG
rnacentral:rRNA from 1 species